ACCUUCUGUGGUGUAGUUGGUAGCACCUUGACUUAAUAAUGAUAAUGUCCUGGGUUUAAGUCCCGGUCGGGGUA